rnacentral:misc_RNA from 1 species
GAUGAAGAACGUAGCGAAAUGCUAUAAGUAGUGUGAAUUGCAGAAUUCAGUGAAUCAUCGAAUCUUUGAACGCACAUUGCGCCCCUUGGUAUUCCAUGGGGCAUGCCUGUUCGAGCGUCAUUUGUACCUUCAAGCUUUGCUUGGUGUUGGGUGUUUGUCUCGCCUUUGCGUGUAGACUCGCCUUAAAAUAAUUGGCAGCCGGCGUAUUGAUUUCGGAGCGCAGUACAUCUCGCGCUUUGCACUCAUAACGACAGCGUCCAAAAGUACAUUUUACACUCUUGACCUCGGAUCAGGUAGGGAUACCCGCUGAACUUAAGCAUAUCAAUAAGCGGAGGA